UACGAAGGGGGCUAGCGUUGCUCGGAAUCACUGGGCGUAAAGCGCACGUAGGCGGACUCUUAAGUCGGUGGUGAAAUCCUGGAGCUCAACUCCAGAACUGCCUUCGAUACUGGGAGUCUCGAGUUCGGGAGAGGUGAGUGGAACUGCGAGUGUAGAGGUGGAAUUCGUAGAUAUUCGCAAGAACACCAGUGGCGAAGGCGGCUCACUGGCCCGAUACUGACGCUGAGGUGCGAAAGCGUGGGGAGCAAACAGG
rnacentral:rRNA from 1 species